GCCAGCGUGGUCUAGUGGUUUGAGCGUUGGACUAGGACUCUGGAGACCAGGAUUCGAAUCCAGGCUCAGCCA